rnacentral:rRNA from 1 species
GACGAACGCUGGCGGCGUGCUUAACACAUGCAAGUCGAACGGAAAGGCCCUGCUUUUGUGGGGUGCUCGAGUGGCGAACGGGUGAGUAACACGUGAGUAACCUGCCCUUGACUUUGGGAUAACUUCAGGAAACUGGGGCUAAUACCGGAUAGGAGCUCCUGCUGCAUGGUGGGGGUUGGAAAGUUUCGGCGGUUGGGGAUGGACUCGCGGCUUAUCAGCUUGUUGGUGGGGUAGUGGCUUACCAAGGCUUUGACGGGUAGCCGGCCUGAGAGGGUGACCGGCCACAUUGGGACUGAGCUACGGCCCAGACUCCUACGGGAGGCAGCAGUGGGGAAUAUUGCACAAUGGGCGGAAGCCUGAUGCAGCAACGCCGCGUGCGGGAUGACGGCCUUCGGGUUGUAAACCGCUUUCGCCUAUGACGAAGCGUGAGUGACGGUAAUGGGUAAAGAAGCACCGGCUAACUACGUG